rnacentral:rRNA from 1 species
UACAGAGGUCCCAAGCGUUGUUCGGAUUCACUGGGCGUAAAGGGUGCGUAGGCGGUCGGGUAAGUCUGACGUGAAAUCUUCAAGCUCAACUUGGAAACUGCGUCCGAUACUAUUCGGCUAGAGGAAUGGAGGGGAGACUGGAAUACUUGGUGUAGCAGUGAAAUGCGUAGAUAUCAAGUGGAACACCAGUGGCGAAGGCGAGUCUCGUGGACAUUUCCUGACGCUGAGGCACGAAAGCCAGGGGAGCAAACGGG